rnacentral:miRNA from 1 species
UGUGUGUGUGUGUGUGUGUGUGUGCGCACACACACACACAUACACACACACAAACACACACA